AUGGAGAUGGUGGAGAAGUUAUCCCUCACCACAAGACCACACCCACAUCCUUACUACAUCCAAUGGUUCAACAACAACGGCAAUGUUAAGGUAACACGUACUGUUCGUGUGCAUUUCAGUAUCUCUACAUAUGCUGAUUAUGUUGAUUGUGAUGUGGUACAUAUGCAAGCAUGUUCCUUAUUACUUGGUAGACCAUGGCAAUUUGAUAAAAAAUCUGUACACCAUGGUAGAAACAAUCAGUAUACUCUUGUUCAUAAGGAUAAAAAUAUUACUUUGCUUCAUAUGACCCCUGAUUCCAUUUUGAAAGAUGAUAUUAAUAGAGCUAAUAAAGCAAAACAGGAGAAAAAUAAGAGUGAAAAUCAGAUUGUGGUAAAAGAAUUUGAGCAACAAAUGAAGCCUAAUAAUAAACCAUCAAGUGUUGCUUCUGAAAUUAAAUUGAAAAGUGCAUGUUUACUUGCCACCAAAUCUGAUAUUGAUGAUCUAGAUUUCAGCAAAUCCAUUUGCUAUGCUUUUGUGUGCAAAGAGACAUUAUUUUCUUUCGAGGAUGUACCUUCCUCUUUGCCUCCUGCUGUGACUAACAUUUUGCAGGAGUUCGCUGACGUCUUUCCACAAGACAUGCCACCGGGAUUACCACCUAUUCGAGGGAUUGAGCAUCAGAUUGACUUAAUUCUCGGUGCCUCGCUGCCAAACCGUGCGCCAUAA
rnacentral:rRNA from 1 species